CUUCAGUGUCGCCUUUUCUCCACACUCCUUUACCUUCUUCCCUCGUUGGUUCUCAGAUCUCUCUUUGAAAUCGGGGGCAAUGUCAGACAGCAAGAAGUCAAUUCGAUGGGGAUAUUUACCUGAUGAGAUUCUUACCCGUAUUUUCACUUUCCUACCUAUCAAAUCCGUUAUCAUCUGUACCACAGUCUCAAAAACCUGGAAAUCCCUAAUCAAAAACCCAACUUUCAUUUCCACCCAUCUCCACCACUCCCGCAACCAAAACCAAAACCUCUUCCUCCUCUUAAGCCUCUCACGGAAUGACAAACAAGUCUACACAUUGCAUAAAGAAGACGAUGAUCCUGAUUUCACUGAAUACACCAGCUUUGAUUCCCCUGCUCCUGCUCUACACCUUCACAAUGUUGUCGGUACUUUUAACGGCCUGAUCUGCCUCUCCUACGGUUUACCCAAUCGCGCUGAGGAAAUCUUUCUCUGGAACCCUUGUGUGAGAAAGUUUCUCCAACUUCCUUAUCCCGAUGCCACCGUCGACACACAUGGUACGUCCCACACGUCUUUUGGGUUUGGAUUUGAUCCAAAAACUAACGAUUAUAAAGUGGUCAGGAUUCUCUCCAUACACGGUGGUUAUUCGGACUUUGUAAAGUCCCGACUCGUGGUCGAGGUUUACUCACUCUUCGCUAGUGAAUGGAGAAUGCUUAGUCUGCCUCCUAUAUGCGCCAAAAUUAGAAUUGGGCGAGCGACAUUUGCCAAUGGGGCACUGCAUUGGAUUGCUUUUACUAAUGAUGACAAACAGUUUGUUUUGGUGUUCGAUUUGGGGGACGAGGUCUUUCGCGAAAUUCUGCUGCCGGAAUUUCCAGGGCAGGUGAUCUGGACUGGUCUUUCUGUAUAUGGAAACUCCAUUGCUGGGUUUCGAAUUACGGUAGGGAUUGAUGAGAAGGUUCAGAUCAAUAUAUGCGUAAUGAAAGAGUAUGGUGUUGCAUCGUCAUGGACUCCAUUUUUUACUGCUGAUUUUGAAUUCGUAGGGCCCACGCCAAGGCCAAUAGGUUUUAGGAGGAAUGGGGAUGCUGUAUUCGUAUUAGGUGAAGGAAAACUUGUAUGUUGGAAUCCUGAGAGCAAAGAGUUUAAGGAUCUUAGAAUGAUUGGAGAUGACAAUCCUUUUAUUGAUUCUUACAUUGAGAGUCUAGUUUUGCUUGACAAGGCCGCCAACGUUGCAGUUACAUACUAACGAGAAUAGGGCAACAAGUUAAGGGACCAUGUGAAGUGGCUCAGCUGAAGAAGUUGGACAAAAUACCACCGCCACCAUCAUCAUUAUGAUGAUAACAUCGAGUGGAUGAGAGAGAGAGAGAGAGGGAUGGUGGUGAUGAUGAUGAUGAUGAUGAAGAAGAUGAAGCCAAAAUGGGGGUUCAUUUUCCAAAUAAAUGAGCAUGGCUUUGGUACUCAAUUACUUGAAGAAAAGGGACAAAAGAAGGACCUAACUAUAUUGAGUUAGGGGAGGGAGAGGCCCCCAACUCAGUGAGUUCAAAUGUGGGAAUUCUACUCUUUGUUAAAAAUGAUAAUGGUAACUACAAACUGCAUUAGAUGGUCCUAGUCUUUUAACAUAAGUCUAAGAGAAUUGAGACAAGGCUUUGGUGUGUGUGUGCACAUGGCUUUACUUUAUCGUUUGUGUUAACAAUAAGCAAUGAAGAAAAUCUCAAAAUCAGGCUUUUUAUUUUUUAUUUUUUGGUUUUAUUCAUUAUUUUAUGUUAUGCAAAGUUGAAAUGACAUAUUGGAAUUUAAUGAAUGAUACUUAAUUUUUAUUUUAUGUGAGAAACUCAUGAUUAUGAUAGAUUUUUGUAUAAUCAUUAACCUAAGCAUAUGACUCUAUAAAUGAGUGCUUCAGCCUAUAAGUCUUUGAUUAGUAAUUAGGUAUUUGCAAAAUUACAUGCAUUUUCAGUCCUUAUUGGACGUGGGAAUGGGAUUAAACCUAUUCUUUUUACCUUGGUUGUAACGUUUGUACGCGUAUAUAAGUUCGUUUUUCUGCUCCAGAAGGCUCUAUUCUUUUAAUUUUGUUGAUGCUUAUGUUGAGAGUCUUGUUUUGCCCUGCCAACUGUGCAAUUACAUGCUAAGGGAAAUAGGUAAGAUGCAUUUCCUCAAAAUAAAUAAAUUGUUUUUUCAUUUUGUUCUUGUAUGUACUUGGAAUAGAUUAUACAUUAGAUAUGAAUCUGUGAUGUUCGAUAUGGCACUAUUAUAUAAAUUCUUAUUAUUACUAAUUUACUUUAGUUAUGUGGCUUUAUGAGGAUAGGUAGCCUAUCUAGGUUGUGGUUGAGGGUUAUAUUGAGGUGAUAGUUGACUAUGUAGCAUGUAUACGUAAAAUUGUUCAGCU